rnacentral:lncRNA from 1 species
UAACAACUGCACAGGCUCCGCCAAUCUUCCGAUAUAAUAAGCACCAACUGGACGGUAGCUUGGUUAUUGCCGUACUGCAGUUUCGUGACUUCGUCGGCAUGGAUAAUACUAAGGUGACACCAAUAGUUCUGCUCGCCUUGCUCAUCCUCGGAUGUCUCGCGUUAGCACACUGUAAGUACAUAUUUAAUUUACUCGAUUGCAAGAUCUGCCUUAUAGUAUUUUAAGUUUAAUUAUUUUCCCCAUUUAUUUAUCUAUACUUGAAAUGCAUGAAAAAUUCCUAUACAUGAAAUAGGAUCUCUGAAUUUGUGGUACAAAGUAGUGAAGUGAUGCAAUGUAUAAAACUUGUAGGCGAAGCCGAUGGCGCAAGAUCCGGUGGUCAUCUACAGCUAGACGAUGAGGCGAACAGUAGCAAAGUGUAUGUGAUAUACGGUACUUGUUACUGUUGUGAGUCUUUAAACGGAGAGCCUUGCUACAAUACAAGGGAAGACUGUAGGAGGGUCUGCCCUGUUUGCAGUCCACACUGCAAACCCCCUGCGUCGUCACGUUCUCUUCGGAUUAAUUCCAGGCUACCGGUUGCCUACAAAAAAUUAUCCACAGGGUCUUGAGAGAACUUGGGCCUCGAUGUGCAAGAAAUGAAAUAUUAUAUUUCUAGUUUCGUUCCCUUCAUCUCGGAAUAUAUAAUAAGAACUGUGGAAAUAGUUUGAAGGCUUCGUCG